GUUACGUUUGGGGAAGUUGCUCAAUAUUGGAAAGGCACAUUUCCCUUCACUGUAAAGCCAAAUAUUCAUAUGCUGCCCAUCUGGUUUUAGCAGCGCUAUCUCCGCAGUUUCUUUACCUUUCAUGGGUUGAUGAUUUUGUCAACAUGACGGUCAGAUAAAACCAAAUUAGCAGAUAUCGCCAGAAACUAUUUGUCGGGAUGAGUAGUUCUUUGACUUCCGCUACUUACAUUCGCAACAUCAGUUACGGUCUACGCCGCCAGUUAUCCGACUUUCUGGACCCUCAGGACAGGUGGAAGGAUGUGAUUGUGUCCAUACGGAAGCCGAGCGGGGAGCCGAGGUACUCCCAGCUUCACGUCAGGAGGUUUGAAGGUCUUGUGACGCAGGGGAAGAGUCCCACCGUGGAGCUGCUGAAUGACUGGGGAACCACCAACUGCACAGUGGGAGAACUGGUGGAUAUUUUGAAGAGCCGCAAUUUGUUGGCUGCUGCCAGUCUCCUGCAACCUUGGGAAGAAUAUUCAUCAGCAGAGACACUCCUGCUCCCCUUACCACUACCUCCUGACAGAGACCCUCCAACCAGGCCACUGGAUGAGACGCAGAGUCAGCCUCCACCCGCCGGAUCAGCACCGGAGACACAAGUACUGAGUGAAAACAGCGAAACAGGACACACAGGUAUUUCCAGUUUUAUGUACAGUGAGCUGAGGAAGAUCACAGGCAACUUUGACGACCGGUCCGUCUCAAACGGUGGCAGCCGACUCGGAGAGGGGGGUUUCGGCACCGUGUACAAAGGCUUCCUGAACAACAGACCUGUGGCGGUGAAAAAACUAAACCCAAUGGAUGACAUGCCUCUGGACAAGCUGCAAGAACAGUUUAACCAAGAGCUUCAGACUCUGAAAGUGUUGAAACACGAGAACUUGGUUGACAUGGUUGGAUUCUCAUGCGACGAGCAGCAAAUGUGUAUAGUGUACGCCUUCAUGGCCAAUGGAUCUUUGCUGGAUCGACUCGCUUGCUUGGACGGCAGUCCUCCUCUUUCCUGGCGACAGAGGUGCUUGAUCGCAGAAGGGACCGCUAGAGGUUUGGAGUACCUCCAUAGCAACCAUCAUGUACACAGAGAUGUUAAAAGUGCAAACAUCCUGCUGGAUGAGAACUUUGUGGCGAAAAUCUCCGACUUUGGGCUGACGAGAGCGUCGGCCAAGCACACGUCUACGACGAUGAUGACGGAGAGGAUCGUGGGGACCCGUGCGUACAUGGCCCCUGAGGCCCUGCGGGGACAGAUCACCCCAAAAUCUGACGUGUUCAGCUUCGGAGUGGUGCUGUUAGAAAUAUUGUCUGGACGUCCGCCAGCUGAUGAAAACAAGGAGCCCCAGUUCCUGUCCGCCUUUCCCUUCUGGCCCGUCUUAGAUGGAUAUCAGGGACGACAUCGAUGAUGAAGACGAAGAUCUGACCCUGGAGCAGAUUUUGGACAGGAAGAUGACAGACUGGGAGCUGAGCCAGGUGGAGAGCAUCUACUGCUUGGCUUCCAACUGCUUGGAUGACAGAAAAAACAGGCGGCCGUUCAUCAAACAGGUUGUUUCAGAGAUUCACAGCGUCAUCAAAAGCAUCUCGUUGGAAUUGUAGGCACGGAGGGAAACAAGAGGCUCACAUUACCUCUGUUCCAAAGUAAAGACUGACAAGUUUUCUGCUUUUUGACUUUAGAAAGUUCCUUAUUUACUGCAAGAAAGAGAUUUAGCAUUAAAACAUCUUUCCCUUCUGUAUUUGUAUUCACAAAUAUUUGAAGAGGAGCACCAACCGGACAUAUCAGCUCUGCUACACAGAUAUUUAGCCAUUAGCAUGUCAUAAGCCCAUCUUACAGCAACAGUUCCAGUCAGAGGCAUCGCCAGAUUCGUUGCAAGACUGACUGCUACUGGAGAUCCUUCCCGUCCACAGCAUCACAUCCAUGACUUUUUAAAGAUACUUGGAGGAUAUGAGUUAGAAGAAAAGUGUGAGCACACAUUUUAAUAAUUUUUUU